CCUACGGGGGGCAGCAGUGAGGAAUAUUGGUCAAUGGCCGUAAGGCUGAACCAGCCAAGUCGCGUGAAGGAAGAAGGAUCUAUGGUUUGUAACCUUCUUUUAUAGGGGAAUAAAGGUAUCCACGUGUGGAUCUUUGCAUGUACCCUAUGAAUAAGCAUCGGCUCACUCCGUGCCAGCAGCCGCGGUAAUACGGAGGAUGCGAGCGUUAUCCGGAUUGAUUGGGUUUAAAGGGUGCGUAGGUUGUUUUUUAAGUCAGCGGUGAAAGUUUGUGGCUCAACCAUAAAAUUGCCGUUGAAACUGGAAGACUUGAGUGUGUUUGAGGAAGGCGGAAUGCGUGGUGUAGCGGUGAAAUGCAUAGAUAUCACGCAGAACAUCGAUUGCGAAGGCAGCUUACUAAGCCAUAACUGACACUGAGGCACGAAAGCGUGGGGAUCAAACAGGAUUAGAUACCCCAGUAGUC
rnacentral:rRNA from 1 species